GUCGGGCGGGCCUGGCUCCCAGCCAGGCGCCCAAACAAUAAACAAUUCCCCCUGGUGCGGGCAGGGGGUUCUCGCUCGCCACAGAAAGGCUCUAGGUGUACGCUGGCAAAUAUCUUUAUCAGUUGGAAGGAGGACGGGAAGGGGGCCUGGGCUGGGGGACGAGAGGGCGCUGCGGCGGGCGCUAGGUCUCUUACCUUCCACCCACAGCUCUUCCACGUUGGUCUCGAGAUUAGCUGCCUUUAAUCCCACAGCGAAGGCCCCAAAUAUGAGGAGGCCCACAACCAAGAACUUGCCGCAGUUUUUUUGAAUGUAACAACCCAGUUUAAACAAGAGUCUCUGAAACUUCGCUCUCAGCCACAGCGGCGCUUUCCGGCCAGUAGCUUUCCCCUGAGGAUGAAGCAGAAGGGAGGAGUGAGCGCCGGGGAGUCGCGGCCCGCGCGCCCACGCCCGCUUGCGCGCACCCGCCCGCGGAUCCCGCGACAUCCGUGGGUGGGGGGUGCCCUCGGGACUGGAACCCAGGCUGGCCCCGGGUAAGGCGAGCAGCGUGGGGGGGCGCCUGGACAUAAAUCAAAGUGGGGCUGCAGCGUGGGAGCUGCACCUUGGCGACAGCAGGGUCAACCCCCCGCUCGACCCGCGCAACAUCCCCGAAGGUGUCUUGGGGGCGUUGGGGAGAAGGGCUGCAAGAACAGGGGGAAGGGAAGCCGAGGCAGAGAGGAGAGGAAUCACUCAUCACAGGCAAUAUUCGCCCCGGAGCCGGGAAGGGAGGGGCUGCUCAAUGUCUGCGAUUGAGCCCACCAUUUAAGAACCAGCAAACCAAGGGUCCCUUCCCCGCAAGUCAAGCCCCAUCUUUUACCCCUCUCGGGGUACCCCGGCAGGGAUGGGGGCUGGGGGACGAGCGCGCUCUGGGAACAAUGUAUUGCGGGCUCCCCGAGCCUGACCCCCGCCCCGCGUGGUAGUAAGUGGGGAUCCACGUGGUGAGCGCGGCCGCCGGAGCUCACUCGCGACGCAUUUCCAUAGCGUUGGGAGACGCUGUGUGAGCUGAAUUAGGAAGUGGGGCAGCCAUCUGCAACUUACGACAACAUUUGUGAUCGGAAGAGGGCAGCCACAUGGAUCUUUCCCUCCUCUCCCUUCCCAUCUGGUUAAACGUAAAAAGUAGCCAAGUGCACAGGGUAAGGGCCCAGGCCGGCGCAGGCGGGGGUCCUGGCUGGGCGCUGGCUGCUCCCGGCGG
rnacentral:lncRNA from 1 species